UACGGGGGGGGCAAGCGUUGUUCGGAAUUACUGGGCGUAAAGGGCUCGUAGGUGGCCAACUAAGUCAGACGUGAAAUCCCUCGGCUUAACCGGGGAACUGCGUCUGAUACUGGAUGGCUUGAGUUUGGGAGAGGGACGCGGAAUUCCAGGUGUAGCGGUGAAAUGCGCAGAUAUCAGGAAGAACACCCGUGGCGAAGGCGGCUCUCUGGGACGGUACUGACGCUGAGACGCGAAAGCGUGGGGAGCGAACAGG
rnacentral:rRNA from 1 species